UUGACAGCACUGUAGAUGAAAUUCCUCUGUUAACAGGUACCAGCAAUAUAAGUUUCUCUACUCUGACCAAACAUUGUCUGCCUCCAUCCUGACCUGAAAGGACCACCUGUAGGAGUAAAAUGUUAGUUCGGUAUCCAUGACCCAUUCAUUCCUUGGCCACU
rnacentral:sRNA from 1 species